CAGCUUCAUUUGCUGCCUAUGUUCCUGUCUGGUCAACCUUCUGUGGUCCAGUUUGUUUCUGUGACUUCCUCAACCCCAAAGGAUCAAGUGAUAACUAUAAGUCCCAGUGAACUGCAAUGGAAAAUUCAUGGAUUUGAUGGUGGACAUCACUAGGUACAAGCAUGGCACCCAAGUCUUUGAGAACUCAGUUGUUUACCAAUGGACAGACCAAACUCUUCUUGUGCUAUCCCAGCAAGUAGAACGAAGGCCUUAGCGUUCCAAUUAGAAUACCUGUUCUAGAAUGUGAAGAUGAGCCCUACAAAAAGAAGAUGUAUCAUAAUGAAAGUAUGGAAGUUGAAGGAAGUUUUUUCUUUUUUUCUUUUUCUAUUUCUUUUGUGUGUGUGUUUCCUACCAAUGUUAUAAUGCUAUUGCAUAGUUGCUGCCCAACUGCAGUUGCAUUGCAACAGAUGCACCUUCUCGGAUCCAACCCCUGCAGGAAAAGGCUGAGCAUUUGGAACAUCUGUUCUUUGAUGAAAACAUGCUAAUUUCUACAGUCUCUUGGCAUUCUUAGUUGAGCUAGUAUGUAGCAAUUUAGAAAAUAUGAUAAAAGAAAUGUAGAAGACAGGUGGAUGAUCACCAAGGAGAACUCCCCCUACAACUUUAAUAAAUGCCAGAAGUGUGCACAAACAUAUAUAUUUCUGUAAAUGUACAGGAAAAUUGUUUUCCUUUGGGUAUGAAUAGUUUGUAAUCCUCUUACAAAAGCUCAGCUCCAGGGCUGAUUUUGAGAGAGACAAAGACAACUGAUGUUCUGCCUUGGAAAAAUUGUGUUAUAACGAAGAAAGUAAGAGUUAUGUCAUAAGAAAAUAAGAAAAUUAUCCUUAUUCUAGUCAAAUAAAAAAACUGAAUAAGAGUGACUCAUGCACUUUUGUUGUAUUAACAUGGAGAAAAUA